UGGGGAAUUUUGGACAAUGGGGGCAACCCUGAUCCAGCCAUGCCGCGUGAGUGAAGAAGGCCUUCGGGUUGUAAAGCUCUUUCGGCGGGGACGAAACGGUUCGUGCCAACAUCACGGACUAAUGACGGUACUCGCAGAAGAAGCACCGGCUAACUACGUGCCAGCAGCCGCGGUAAUACGUAGGGUGCAGGCGUUAAUCGGAAUUACUGGGCGUAAAGCGUGCGCAGGCGGCUCCUUAAGUCAGAUGUGAAAGCCCCGGGCUUAACCUGGGAACUGCGUUUGAAACUGGGGAGCUAGAGUGUAGAAGAGGGGGGUGGAAUUCCAGGUGUAGCAGUGAAAUGCGUAGAGAUCUGGAGGAACACCGAUGGCGAAGGCGAGACUCUGGACGACAACUGACGCUGAGAGACGAAGGCCAGGGGAGCGAAAAGGAUUAGAUACCCCUGUAGUCCCUGAGCGGGCUGGCAAGGCGCAU
rnacentral:rRNA from 1 species